UGGGAUUUCUUGUUUCGGCGGAAGGUAUUUUGGGUCGUUUUGGGUGCGGUCACGCUGCAAAUAAUCAACAACCCUAGCUAUACGUGUUGGUACGGUCGGCGGUUAUGCGGGUAUUUCUAAUCUAAGCCAUACACCUAAAGAUACAGUGCGGAAUCGGAAAGUCGAAUGCAAUAAAAGUGUUUCUGGGCGCUGUCAACUUAGUAGUUAAUUGCAAAAGCUUCUCAAAACCAAGUAGGAUACCUAAAGUGUUAAACCAAAUGUUAGUAUAAGCCUAAAGUGUAUAACUAGUGUAAGCCAAAAAAAAAGCGCAAACGUGUCAUCCCAGCGAUCUUGCUAUCAAAAAAAAAAACGCGUCUAAACCAAACACACACAUACACACUCACGCUUA